rnacentral:rRNA from 1 species
GGCCAACGGGAGAAGGGUUGUUAAGGAACUCGGCAAAUUGACCCCGUAACUUCGGGAGAAGGGGUGCUCCAGAGAUGGAGCCGCAGAGAAUCGGCCCAAGCAACUGUUUACCAAAAACACAGGUUUGUGCUAAAUCGAAAGAUGACGUAUACGAGCUGACGCCUGCCCGGUGCUGGAAGGUUAAGAGGAGAUGUGCAAGCAUUGAAUCGAAGCCCCAGUGAACGGCGGCCGUAACUAUAACGGUCCUAAGGUAGCGAAAUUCCUUGUCAGGUAAGUUCUGACCCGCAUGAAAGGCGUAAUGAUUUGGGCACUGUCUCAACAGCCCGCCCGGCGAAAUUGUAGUACCGGUGAAGAUGCCGGUUACCCGCGACAAGACGGAAAGACCCCAUGGAGCUUUACUGUAGCCUAAUAUUGGGUUUCGAUGUUGCAUGCACAGGAUAGAUGGGACACUAGGAAACAAUCGCUUUGGCGGUUGCGGAGUGGCCGUUGGGAUACCAUCCUUGCGAUAUUGGAAUUCUAACCUGCGGCUCUGAAUCGAGUCGGGGGACAUUGUUAGGUGGGCAGUUUGACUGGGGCGGUCGCCUCCUAAAAAGUAACGGAGGCGUUCAAAGGUUCGCUCAGCUUGAACGGAAAUCAAGCAAAAGAGUGCAAACGCAGAAGCGAGCCUAACUGCGAGACUGACGGGUCGAGCAGUAACGAAAGUUGGAGUUAGUGAUCCGGUGGUAUGUGAGUGGAAAUGCCAUCGCUCAACGGAUAAAAGUUACCCUGGGGAUAACAGGCUGAUCUCCCCCAAGAGUCCACAUCGACGGGGAGGUUUGGCACCUCGAUGUCGGCUCAUCGCAUCCUGGGGCUGUAUUCGGUCCCAAGGGUUUGGCUGUUCGCCAAUUAAAGCGGUACGCGAGCUGGGUUCAGAACGUCGUGAGACAGUUCGGUCCCUAU